AUUGAACGCUGGCGGCAGGCCUAACACAUGCAAGUCGAGCGGAGCGGCGGGCGGGUGAGUAAUGACUAGGAAUCUGCCUGGUAGUGGGGGAUGACGUCCGGAAACGGGCGCUAAUACCGCAUACUAUCAGAUGAGCCUAGGGCGGAUUAGCUAUGUGGUGGGGUAAAGGCCUACCACGGCGACGAGCGGUAACUGGUCUGAGAGGAUGAUCAGUCACACUGGAACUGAGACACGGUCCAGACUCCAACGGGAGGCAGCAGGGGGGAAUAGUGGACAAUGGGCGAAAGCCUGAUCCAGCAAUGCCGCGGGUGUGAAGAAGGUCUUCGGAUUGUAAAGCAUUUUAAUUUUUGAGGCGUUACCAAGAGAAUAAGCACCGGCUAACUUCGUGCCAGCAGCCGCGGUAAUUC
rnacentral:rRNA from 1 species